rnacentral:lncRNA from 1 species
GAAGAGAAGAGAAACCAAGGAAGAACAAACCCUAGGUGGGAAAAAUCAAAGAGAAAGUGUUGGAAUUCAAGGAUUUGAUCAUGCAAAAGUAAAAUUUCUUUGAUUUUGCUAGUGAUUUACCUUACCCAUGCAUUUUCCCUUAAUUUCCAUGGUUAAAUUACAUGUUUUCAUGAUAAAUUCAUGGUUGGUCAAAAUGGGUAAGGAUAGAGAAAGAUGUUGGAUUGAAUUGAUUUUAAGAUAUGUUAGUGUUUUUAGUUAGUUUAGCAUAUUUAGAAGCAAAACAACAAGAAAAGAAUCCAUUUUCCCCAUGAAUCUUCAUUGGUCGAAUCUUCCUUGAUGUGUGUGGGUGAUGGAUUGUUAUUAUUUCAAGAGAAAUGGCUUAGAAAAUGAUGAAUAAUGGUGAGAACAUUAAGUAGGAAAAUCACGGUGUUAGCGCACUGUAAUGGCCAAAUUUUUCCAUGAAGAAAUGGGAAGGUUUUGAUGCUGAAAUUGGUGUUAUUUGAUUAAUGUUUGGUGAAUUGAGGUAUUAGAAAUGAAAUGGAGCAAUUUGGAGCCAAAUCGGACACAAUUGUCAUUUAAUCGGGUAAUAAGCCGAAUUAGGUCAACACCGCAUUUAAGCGGUAGUCGGAUAAGUUGCAUAUCAUAUCAUGCAUAUACACCGAGCCUGAAUUGAUUUUAUAAUGGUCAAGCAUUAAUGUGGUGAAUUAUGUAUUGUACAUUGUGGGUAGGUGGUGAGUAAAUUACACUGGUAAAAGUACAGAAAUUGUGCUUGAAGACUGGGAUUAAGAGUACAUCGACUCCUAGAACUGUGAGUAAACUUAUUAUCGUCUUAAUUAUCUAGAGUAGUUUAAUACAAUUGUGUGAUUUUAUAGAAAAUGGGUUUUAAUGGUAAAUUGCUACGUUUUAGGAGAAAUUGUGAUUUUAUAAAACGAUUUUAUAAAUUUUUUAGAAAAUUGAAUACUAGUUUUGAAAAUAGAGUAAUUGGAGACUGCCUGCUUGUGUUAUAAAUUGUGUUUUAAAUUAUAUGGCUUAUAGCAAUAUGUAGACCUGUCAAUAUGGGCCAACCCAGCCCUAGCCCUUGUGGGCUGAAAAAAUAUGGGUCGGGCCGAGCCAGCCCAUUUUUUAUAUGGGCUGUGAAAUCCUCAGCCCAGCCCACCCCUUGCUAGCCCAUGGGUUGGAUUGGGCCAACUCAUUUCUUUUUUUUUUUAAUUAUUUUUAUAAUUUUAAUUAAUAAAUUUUCUAUUAAUAAAAUUAUUUUAUGAUUUAAUUCAUAAAUUAAAACUAUUAAUUUGAUAAGUAAAUAUUAAACACAUUAAAAUAUAUAAAAUAAGUAAUAUUAUUGGUAAUUAAAUUAUUAAUUUUAUAUAAUUAAAUAUAUAAAAUUAUUAAAUUAAUUAAUAAUAUGAAUUUUUUAGCCCAUAGGGCUGGCCUGCCCUAACCCACUGAUUUGGUGGGCUGACCCAUCUAGGCCCGGUUUAAAUAUGGGCCUAAAAUUUCAUGGCCCAGCCCACCCCAUAUUUAAUGAAAAAUGGGCUGACCCAAUGGGCCAAGCCCAUUUUGACAAGUAUAGCAAUAUGUGAGCAUGAAUGGCAAAGUCGGUAUUUGUAUCAAAAUUAUAAAUACUAUGUAUUCAGCCUUAAGAGGCUAGAUUGCGAUAAAUUGACAUGUCAUGCAUAUAAGGAUUUUAUAAAUCAGGUGGUAGAUAAAAUAAUCCAUAGUCACUGUAGUGGUGGGGGUUUUCGUGGAUUGCCUAUGAGAGGGGCACGAUAACUCAAUUAUAUAUUUACCUCUGGGGGAAGAUGUUGGAUGAAGUAUCUCCUGAGGUAAAGAUUUGAGUGCACUUCACAUGGACCACCGCGUGAGAGUGAGACUCAGCCAACACCAAGGAAUGGUUGUGUAUCAGAUGCGAAAACAUGUUUAUGGGUAUGGGACAUUUAACAGCCUUGGCGGUCUCAGUGGGAUACCUUGACGAAGGUACCUGUGAGAAUGAUUUUGGCAAGAGCCAAGUUUUGUGAGAUAUAUAAGCCAUGUUGAUUAAUUGAGUAAACUGAAUAUUCAUGUUAUGAAACAUAUAUUGUAAAAGAAUAUUUUAAUUUGUCUCUAUUUACUCGCCUUUACAUGGUUUAGAUGGUGUCUGUUUACUUACUGAGAUUUUAUAAUCUCACCACCCUCAUUUCCUCACAUUUCAGGCUCAGGGAAUUCCAUAGUUAGCUGACUUUGACAAGGACCUUAAUUUGAACUUGAAUCGGCAAAAGCUGUAGGUUUUCAGCUUCCGAUACAUUUUGGUCAGUUGGGGGCCCACGUGUCACUAUAAAAGUAAUUUUAUACUUCAGUUAUCUGAUUUAAAGUAUGUAUGAACAUGUUUAGCUUUUACACCAU